AUUGAACGCUGGCGGAAUGCUUUACACAUGCAAGUCGAACGGCAGCACGGGGGCAGCCCUGGUGGCGAGUGGCGAACGGGUGAGUAAUACAUCGGAACGUGCCCGGUCGUGGGGGAUAACGUAGCGAAAGUUACGCUAAUACCGCAUACGAUCUGAGGAUGAAAGCGGGGGACCUUCGGGCCUCGCGCGAUCGGGGCGGCCGAUGUCAGAUUAGGUAGUUGGUGGGGUAAAGGCCUACCAAGCCGGCGAUCUGUAGCUGGUCUGAGAGGACGACCAGCCACACUGGGACUGAGACACGGCCCAGACUCCUACGGGAGGCAGCAGUGGGGAAUUUUGGACAAUGGGCGCAAGCCUGAUCCAGCCAUUCCGCGUGCAGGACGAAGGCCUUCGGGUUGUAAACUGCUUUUGUACGGAACGAAAAGGCUCUGGCUAAUACCUGGGGCUAAUGACGGUACCGUAAGAAUAAGCACCGGCUAACUACGUG
rnacentral:rRNA from 1 species